rnacentral:tRNA from 1 species
ACUUUUUAAAGGGAAGGAAAUU